CGCGCUGCUACGUCGCCGCUCCUGCUUCGCAUUCAUGGCGCGCCCGCUCCCAUCCCUCGCAGGCCGAAACCUCCCGUGGGCUUCUCCCAGCGCCCUGAUGGUGGCAGUCGAGCAACGAGGCUGCGGCAGCCGGAGAACUAAUGGCCGCGGCGAAGGGGCGGCUGUGGCCGGCGCCGAGGCCGCGCUCGCAAAUCCGUGUGUUGGCGUGCUCGUGUGUGUGCUCUGGAGCACGUGUGUCACUGGGAGUGUCCCGGCGGAGGCCCAGCGCAGCCCUCGGGACUGAAAGAUUGCAAGCCCCUGCCUUGCGCCCGGCUCUGCGUCACGAGCUGCGAGGGAGGGAGCCCGCACGGAGCCGGGGCUGCCGGACAGGCACCUGUCAUCCCCGCGGGUGAGGCCGCUUGGCUUUCCCCUCGGCUACUGCCUCAACGUAAAACUGGAGAAAGACCGCUCUUUCCAAACAGGCAGGCCUGUGCUGGGCCCCGGGGUUUGGUCCCCGUCACAGAACUGGACGGAGGCUUGGCGUGAGUUUCCCCGCUGGCACAAAAGAGACGUGAAAGGCUGAGGAGAGCAGCCAGCAGGCCAAUGCUGCCAGGUUCUUGGCCCCUCCAGCAUCGCCGUUUACCGACCGCCAGCCAUGGCUGAAUGGCGGCACCGGCCACUGCAGCAUCCGCUCACCUCCAGCCCCAGCCAGGCCCCUGCCAGGGCGCUGUUGCCUCAGUCAUGGCUCAAGGCAUUCAGUGGGGUCGGCCUGGCAGAGUGACCCGCGGUCCGUGCCCACAGAAACCUCGGGCUGGUGAACUAAUGCGAUAUAUAAGCAAGAAUGUUGAACUAGGUUGUCUCAUUUGACUUAUCCAGGGGUUCACUGCUCUGGUGACUUGGCCUUCCGAUCUUUGAUUCUUAAGCUAAGAUUGUUGGGGGUAGUGGCACCUGAAUACCACAAUAUCUUUUUAACAA